CCUACGGGUGGCAGCAGUGAGGAAUAUUGGUCAAUGGCCGGGAGGCUGAACCAGCCAAGUCGCGUGAGGGAAGACGGCCCUACGGGUUGUAAACCUCUUUUGUCAGGGAGCCAGGUGCAGGUCGGGCCCUGCUGUGAGAGUACCUGACGAACAAGCAUCGGCUAACUCCGUGCCAUCAGCCGCGGUAAUACGGAGGAUGCGAGCGUUAUCCGGAUUUAUUGGGUUAAAAGGGUGCGCAGGCGGAGGCACAAGUCAGCGGUAAAUUCGCGGGGCUCAACCCCGCUCCGCCGUUGAAACUGGCAGUCUAGAGUUGGAGAGAAGUAGGCGGAAUGCGCGGUGUAGCGGUGAAAUGCAUAGAUAGCGCGCAGAACUCCGAUUGCGAAGGCAGCAUGCCGGCUCCACACUGACGCUGAGGCACGAAAGCGUGGGUAUCGAACAGGAUUAGAUACCCCAGUAGUC
rnacentral:rRNA from 1 species